rnacentral:misc_RNA from 1 species
AUAGGAGGUGCCAACCACAGCCAUGCUACAUUUGACCCCGCAUGUGGGUUUCCAGUGAAAUUUCACGUAGGUUACUUUUCCAGCCUUAUUGAUGAAAGAAAAGGCGUGAACACCAAAACCUUCCAUGUGUCUAUAAUUUUGGGGAAUUCCAACAUCAUCAAAAAACCAGGCGAAGGUGCUCAAGCUCUCGGGAUGGUGUGAUAAGAAGUCAAAGAUCCU